AACGAACGCUGGCGGCAGGCCUAACACAUGCAAGUCGAACGUGAAGCCACCUUCGGGUGGUGGAAUGUGGCAGACGGGUGAGUAACGCGUGGGAACGUGCCUUUCGGUUCGGAAUAACCCAGGGAAACUUGGGCUAAUACCGGAUACGCCCUUCGGGGGAAAGAUUCAUUGCCGAAAGAUCGGCCCGCGUCGGAUUAGCUUGUUGGUGGGGUAAUGGCCUACCAAGGCGACGAUCCGUAGCUGGUCUGAGAGGAUGAUCAGCCACACUGGGACUGAGACACGGCCCAGACUCCUACGGGAGGCAGCAGUGGGGAAUAUUGCACAAUGGGCGAAAGCCUGAUGCAGCCAUGCCGCGUGGGUGAAGAAGGCCUUAGGGUUGUAAACCCCUUUCAGCGGGGAAGAUAAUGACGGUACCCGCAGAAGAAGUCCCGGCUAACUCCGUGCCAGCAGCCGCCGUAAAAC
rnacentral:rRNA from 1 species